rnacentral:rRNA from 1 species
AGUCGACGGCAGCACAGGGAGCUUGCUCCCGGGUGGCGAGUGGCGCACGGGUGAGUAAUACAUCGGAACGUGUCCUGUUGUGGGGGAUAACUGCUCGAAAGGGUGGCUAAUACCGCAUGAGACCUGAGGGUGAAAGCGGGGGAUCGCAAGACCUCGCGCAAUUGGAGCGGCCGAUGCCCGAUUAGCUAGUUGGUGAGGUAAAGGCUCACCAAGGCGACGAUCGGUAGCUGGUCUGAGAGGACGACCAGCCACACUGGGACUGAGACACGGCCCAGACUCCUACGGGAGGCAGCAGUGGGGAAUUUUGGACAAUGGGGGCAACCCUGAUCCAGCCAUGCCGCGUGCAGGAUGAAGGCCUUCGGGUUGUAAACUGCUUUUGUCAGGGACGAAAAGGACCGUGUUAAUACCAUGGUCUGCUGACGGUACCUGAAGAAUAAGCACCGGCUAACUACGUGCCAGCAGCCGCGGCAAUACGUAGGGUGCAAGCGUUAAUCGGAAUUACUGGGCGUAAAGCGUGCGCAGGCGGUUCUGUAAGACAGAUGUGAAAUCCCCGGGCUCAACCUGGGAAUUGCAUUUGUGACUG